ensembl:lincRNA
AUGGUAUAUUUUUGUUUUAUUAUUUUUUGUUAUUUUUUAAUGGAAAAAAAUACUUUGACAUGUGCGUGGAUGGAGAAAGACAUGGAGAAAUCAGAGUUGAAGUGGUGGGAAUUUCAUGUAAAGUCAAAGGGAAAGCUUUGGAAAGAAACAUGGAUACGUUUCACUAUGAAAAAAUAUGAAAGGGCAAAUUCUUUACCAAUAGAGCCUCUGAUGGACAUGUGGAAUACAAAUCGGAUCUUGAAUAAAAGCAUAUUGUAG